GUGGAUUUGGGUGAGAACAAAUCAGGAUAGGCCUUAGAAGAGAGAAUAAUCAAGGUGUCAUCGAAGUCUAACAACAAUAACAACAAAAACACAGGCCCAUUAUGGCAAUCCAACAGCAGAAUGGGAGGAUAAAAUAAUCAGAACUAGAGAAAGAAGAAAGAGAAAAGUGGAUUCUCAACUAGAAGCAAAAACAUCCACUGAAGUUUGUGAGAGUGCAAUAGGCAGUGCCACAGAUCUUUCUGAGGAAGUACUACCAUAUGACUUCACCUUCUCAGGCUGAGGUAUCAGCUUGACUGUCACUCCACAGAUCAAGACUAGAGGUAAAUGUAAACACUAUACAGGUGGGAUGAGAAACAGCUGUUCAGCUGCCUGGCUAGAAGAACAGGCCCAGUUCUUUGCUACAGGAUGGACAUGGAAAAGUUCAGGCAUUUGAAGUUACUGGCGUCAGCCACAUGAGAUUGAUGACGGGAUUGGCUUCUACAAGAGGUCCAUGUGGUUCUCAUUUCUGAAAACAGAUGUUUGGAAACCAAUGUUUUCAAAGAUAAUAUGAAACUACACCAAUAUGCUGCACUAUGGAGAAAAACUAACCUUGACAGAAGAAAAAAGAUUUUCUUGAGGCAGAAGAUGAAGGACUAUUGGUCGGGACAUUCACAGAAGUCUGUUCUGUAAGUUGGGUUAUAUGGAAGCAGAGAUGCUAGGUCAACCCAUGUUGUGCCCUCCCUCUUUUGGUAAGCAAAACACUGAUGCUUAUGACAUCUUCCUUUUCUUUGGUGGUGGCCUUGAAAAUUGUUAUUCCUUCCAGAAAGGGCUGGAUGUCACUCGCUUAUGAAUUUGAAUCCUUCUCUUUUUGCCAAAUGAUAGAACUGAGCUUGCUCCAUGAGCUUCAUGUGUGUAAACAUUAGUGGGGAUCCAAGUGGCUCUGCAGGUAGAAUAGACACUCAGGUCCCUCCUGCCCAAGUCCAGGGGCUUGCUUCCAUGAAUCCAAUCCUUUAGUUCAUAUCAGUUCAUGGUGUACCAGAAGCCUCAACACAUCUGCAAAUUUUUACAGAACAUGUUUGUGCAAGGAAAUAAAUUAGGUCACCAGGCCUUCAAAGGCUCCUUCCACUUAGGGGUGGUGGAGCCCAUGAAGCUGAGAAUCACCCUUGCCAGCUGUUGGAACUUGAAAUAAUCCUCCAAAAACCUCUUGCUAUUUUAGGAGGGUCAUCCUGGUGGGUCUGUGUAUGCUGUAAAAGAGUGGCUCACUAUUUAACCACCCAUCUCUACUGUGCUGAUUUAGGGACCACGAUCACUUGAGCUUUUCUUGGUGCCUGGGAUCUGUCUUUCUGCACAGGGAUAAUCUAGGCUUAUUUGUGGCUUUUUUCCCCUGCAUUUCCUUUACUUGCUCACUUUCCUUCUUUUCCUCACUAUGUUUCCAUUUGAAAUCAGUUUUCACAUAUGCAUUUCAGUGCAACUCUACCUUCAGGAACUUACUGGAUUACACAGGAAAUUCCUUAUAGUGUGUGACCAUCUGCACUGCAAACAAUUUUCAGGGAAUUGACUAGCUACUAAUACCACUUACAAAAAAUCUAAUAAGGGGUUUAACAUUUUCAUAAGGAAAAUUAAUAUUUAUAUUUUCUGUUUUGGUUGGGUUACAUUUUUACUAUUUUGAGAAAAAAAGUAUUGCAUUUUUAAAAAGUGAACAAAAAAAGCUCUCAUACAAUUGAAUGGUAUUGCCAAAAGAAAUUAAGAAGUCAGAAUUUGAUGAUUCAAUAUAUUAUAAAUAUAUUUUUGACCAUAGUCCUAAACUAUCAUCUGUCAAGUUGUAUUAUUUUGAGUACAUAAGUAUUUUUCAUGUUCUUAUUUGUUUUCUAUAAUGCCUCAUAACAUAUAUAGCUCUGUGAGUCUGUUCUUUCAGAAGAUCUUAUCUCUUGUUAGUUUUCAAGGAUUUCCAGGUUCACAGCAGCUGACUUUUUACUACACAUUUUAUGACUCUAAAACCAUUAGAAGAACAUCAAUGCUUCCCUAAAUUGGUUUUUUGGAGAAAAUGUAAUAUGUUUGAUGAAUUCAAAUAAAAAGAUGGAAACAUAACAGCAUAUUGGAUUACUUGUUAAUUUUUCUUUCUCAAAUGUUUUAUAUUGAAAGGAAUUGAUUUGUGGAGUACAUUUUCAAACCAAUUUCACCUUCGUUUCUAGAAAAACUACAUUUUGUCCUAGAAAGCUAUCGACAUUUCAUCAGAGGAAAUAGAUUCAGAAUUGCUGCCCAGUAAAAUCUUUUUUAGCGAUAGUUCUCUAUCUUUCACCAAAGACAAUGCAAUUGACCUUGGGUUGGAGGAUAAAAAGCUGCCAUUAUCAAGUGACAGAAUAACUGGUUGUCUUCCUCUGCUAGGUUUUUGGCAUCACAGAGUUCUCUGAGUCAAGCUUUCACAUAGAGAAAUAACUAAUCCAAUAACUAUAACAACUUAAAUUAUACAAUUACUUUAUCUUUGUCAAUUUAAACUGGUGAGUUUAUCAAAAACAAAAACGGAACUUCAAACACAUUUAGAGAUCAUAAGCAUAAGUGAAAUAAGACUUAAAGGUAUCUUACCAUCUAAAAUCAUCACAAGUCAAUUUCAUAUACCUUAAGAUGUUUAUCUCUGUGCCCUGCCUCAUUUCAGAACAGGAGGCCAGAAUCCAUUCAAAUUAAAAUAGUUUCAAAUAGCAAUUCAAAAACAAACCCAUUAAUUGUCUCUUUCCAAAUGAUUA
rnacentral:lncRNA from 1 species